GCAGCGCCUGCUGGGGGGAUGUUUCUUCCAAGGAGAACAUAGCCUGUCAGGAAAAUGGGUCAGGGAUGGAAAGGAACCUGCUAAUUGCCCCCCUCCUCGGCAGAAGCACUUGAGGGGGGGCGGGUGGCUGUGGCCAGGAGCGCGCACUCGGAACUCCGCUCUGCCUCUCCCUCCCCUCCCCCGCUGCCCUCCUCUCCUUUUGCACCAAUGCAGGAAAUGUUCCACUGACCUACAUAUUUUUCCAAACAUACGUGACCUUUUUUUUUUUUCCCCCUCUGUGGGAGGAGACAGGCGAGAAUCCAAGAAAAGGAGAAGCUGGAGCGGCGCGCGCGAGGAAACAGGGAGGCUUUCAUGAAGGCUCCCGUAAACCCCGAACAGAGACAGAUGCACAUAAAUAGUCUCGGGGAGCCAGGAGCUGCCGUUUGAUACUCUGCGACAGAGACGGCCUCCUUUGAUUGCUGUGGGCAGAGACAUGGAAAUUCCUCCAUCUUCUCAGAAGUGACGAGAUCAGAAGAGUCACUGAGGGUCCACUGCUGAGCUGCACAGAUGCUGAGCUUUCACCAGAAAGAAAUAAAGGGACCAAGUGUAGCCUGUAUUCAGCCCGAAGAAUCCUUGUGCACUGCUGUUAAGAAAUCUAGACCAUCAGAGGUUUGAGCGGGCGGCGUGGAAGCCUGGGCUUCCGGGCCCUGGGAACAGGCGUUCUUGGGUGAAUUGCAGCCCAGGCUCUGUUCUUGGUUCCAAGCACAGCAUCCCCCAGCUGGUCCCUGAGGUUGGGACGCUCGCUCUUGGGGCAGGACUUUGCCAUCAGAUGUCAAUUAUCUGCCAUCUGUUCUGAGCAGCCCACUGGAGAACUUUUCCACCCGGAACGGCUGUGGCCUUCUCCUGUCAUCGUUCCCCGGAUUUUCCUGGCAACCCUCUCACCCAGCCGCAUUUGUAGCUCCGUGGGGGAAGAACAGGGAAAUUUCGCACACUUUCCUUUGAAUAGAACUGAAACGUGGAAUAAUGCAAGAACCAAGAGGAGCAGAGCCGCGCUGUUCCCUCAGCAACCACUGGCUGUCAUGGCCACAUCCGCCUGAGAACACAGACCACCACAGACUCUCGGGGUCUCAGUAGGUGGUGGAGGCUGGGGUGUGCAUCUUCAUCGCCUGGCCUCUCACCCCAAUGAGCAUCUCUCUCUGACUGAUGGCCCUUUAAGCUAUUAUUAAGUAUCACACCUCGACUCUUAACCGAUGAGAGUUGAAGAGGUGGAUCAAAGCCAGUGGCAGUGUGCUGUAGCCAUAGAAAGAAAAUAAGAAAAGGCCAACUUUAAAGCAUGAAGUUUGACUACGAACCUGACACACGCCCCCACAACUGCCUGCACCGCCCACUCCCUAACAGUCAGACCUGGGGGAAGGUUACCACAACAGCUGCGAAAUGACAGUUCUCCAGCUCCUUUGUGUGUGGGGCCCGGGUGACCCACUAGGGCUUCUGGAAUAAAGAAGUGAUGCUUCCAGGGAGUGCGGGAACGAGAAGAGUGGCCCGCGUGGGCGUGGGAGCCGGGCUUGGGCUCUUGAGUUGAAUUUAUAUCCUCCAUCUGCAAUUAGCCCAUUGCCCCUUCUGAGAACAUGAAUAGUUCCCGCUGCUGUUAAUGGGAAUGCUGUUCUCACCCCAACGGGAGGAAAAACGCCCAGAAACAUGUUUAAUGGAUUUUUUUUUGGAUACUUAAAAACAUUGCAGUGAUUUUCUAGUUCCAAAAAG
ensembl:lncRNA